rnacentral:rRNA from 1 species
AUGAACGCUGGCGGCGUGCCUAAUACAUGCAAGUCGAGCGCACGGACGAGAAGCUUGCUUCUCUGAUGUUAGCGGCGGACGGGUGAGUAACACGUGGAUAACCUACCUAUAAGACUGGGAUAACUUCGGGAAACCGGAGCUAAUACCGGAUAAUAUUUUGAACCGCAUGGUUCAAAAGUGAAAGACGGUCUUGCUGUCACUUAUAGAUGGAUCCGCGCUACAUUAGCUAGUUGGUAAGGUAACGGCUUACCAAGGCAACGAUGCAUAGCCGACCUGAGAGGGUGAUCGGCCACACUGGAACUGAGACACGGUCCAGACUCCUACGGGAGGCAGCAGUAGGGAAUCUUCCGCAAUGGGCGAAAGCCUGACGGAGCAACGCCGCGUGAGUGAUGAAGGUCUUCGGAUCGUAAAACUCUGUUAUUAGGGAAGAACAUAUGUGUAAGUAACUGUGCACAUCUUGACGGUACCUAAUCAGAAAGCCACGGCUAACUACGUG